AUAAAUUUCAAUAACUUGUAUUCAAUUAAAUUCACAUACUAUUUCACUAUUUCAAAUCAUUUUAUUUUCACUUCUCAUUUCUCAACAAUAGCUAUUUUAAUUUGCUUUUCUUCACUUAGAUUUUUACAUUAUCUUAUACUACCAAAACCACUUCAUGAACUAUAUCAUUAUCUAUUUCUUGAACCCAUGGUUCAUACAUUUCAUUUUCUAUAUCUCAAUUUAAUAUCUCUUUUUGAUUCAUAUUCAAGAUCAUUCAAUAAAAUUUAUAUUAUCAAAAUUAUUCAUUUACCCCUAUUAACUUGACUCGGACUCUGACAGAUACGCGGAUUCCACCCAAACACACCACAAUAUCCAACCAAAACACACCCAAAAUAAAUAUAAAUCCUCCAUAACACACCAAUAUAUCAUAUCCUCCCAAACACACCAAUAAGGCAUUAAAUGCUUCUUCGGAUAAACCGAAGCAUAUAAUAACAUAAUCAUCUUCUCGGCCGAGCUACAAAUCUCCUCAUCACAUCACAAAUCCUAUGGCAUGCCAUUUGUAUCCAAUCUAGUCCGAUAAGUUAAUAGGGUAUUCGAAUCACAUUUCAAUUCAAUCACUUUCUCAUACUUUCAAUUCCAAUUUAAUCACAAUUUAAUUCAAUACAUUUUUCACCUUCCAAUCAGUAUACCAUCAAAUGCUCAUACAUAUUCAUACUUCAUUUUAAUUUCAUUCAAUUCACAUACGAUUCAAUAUCAUUUAAUUCAAUAUCGAUAUCCACCUUAUUUUUAUUUACUAAACAUAUUAUUCAAAAUUCAACAAUUGCUAUUAAUAAAUUCAAUAUCAAUACGUAUUUAUCAUUCAAUUCAAUCAUGAUACUUACUUCAAUUUGCUUAUCAUGUAUAUUAAUUUAAAUUUUAACAAUUAAUAAUUAAAUUCGAAUUAUGGUAAUACUAACCGUAAAUUUUCUCGAGUCACUCCUUAUUCAUCUUCUCCUUUCCUUUAUUGGACAAUGACUCUUGCACGACAUUAGCUACGCAAUUAAACAAUUAAAAAUUAUUAAUACACAAUUUCAUCAAAAUAGUUCCAUUUAUACCUAAACUUUACCUAAAUUCUAAUUUAAUCCCUUAUCAAUACUAAUUUUAUUUUCCCAAUCUAACUCCAUAUUCUCUCUUAAUUCUUACCAUAAACUCAUUUUAACUUUUCAUUUUCACCAUAAAUUCCUAAUUUCGAAAUUCUCUCAAUUUAGUCCCUUUUAAUUCAAAGCCUAUAAUUUAUUUUACAAAUCAACCUUUUACUAACUUCUAACUUGAAAUUUAAUCAAUUUAACCCCUAAUUCUUUCAUUUAUUCAACAUAAUCAAUAUCUAGAAAUAUAAUAACUUCUCAAAUUUCAACAUAAAUCCAAUAAUACUUUGUUCUAGAAUACCAAAAACUCAAAAAUUAUAAGAAAAUGACUUACCAAUUGAGCUUGGAAUCUUGAAAUCCCAAAUUUUCUUCCUUUCCUUCCCUUUUUUUUUCUUUUUCUUUCCUUUCCUUCUUUCCUUCUCUGUUUCGUUUGCCAAUUCUGUUUCUAUUCCCUUUUUC
rnacentral:lncRNA from 1 species